CCGAGUUUACAACUCCCAAACCCAUGUGAACAUACCUAUCGUUGCUUCGGCGGGAUCGCCCCGGGCGCCUUGUGUGCCCCGGAUCCAGGCACCCGCCGGGGGACCUUAACUCUUGUUUUAUUUAGAAUCUUCUGAGUAGUUUUUACAAAUAAAUAA
rnacentral:misc_RNA from 2 species